rnacentral:rRNA from 1 species
AGAAUCAACGCUGGCGGCGUGCCUAACACAUGCAAGUCGAACGCGAAGACCCCGCAAGGGGGUUGGUAGCGUGGCAAACGGGUGAGUAACGCGUGGGCGACCUACCUCAGAGUGGGGGAUAACCUUCCGAAAGGGAGGCUAAUACCGCAUGACAUCCCGUGUUUAGAUACACGGUGAUCAAAGCCGGGGGAUCGCAAGACCUGGCGCUUGGAGAGGGGCCCGCGUCCGAUUAGCUAGUUGGUGGGGUAACGGCUCACCAAGGCUCCGAUCGGUAUCCGGCCUGAGAGGGCGGACGGACACACUGGGACUGGAGACACGGCCCAGACUCCUACGGGAGGCAGCAGUGGGGAAUUGUCGCAAUGGGCGCAAGCCUGACGACGCAACGCCGCGUGGAGGAUGAAGCCUUCGGGUAGUAAACUCCGUUCGACGAGCUAGAACUACUACGAUCGAACCUUAAUACCGUUGAACUAGA